rnacentral:rRNA from 1 species
GACGAACGCUGGCGGCGUGCUUAACACAUGCAAGUCGAACGGUGAAAGGGGGCUUGCCCCCUGGAUCAGUGGCGAACGGGUGAGUAACACGUGGGCAACCUGCCCCUGACUCUGGGAUAACGCUUCGAAAGAGGUGCUAAUACCGGAUACGAACUUCCUUGGCAUCAGGGGAGUUGGAAAGUUUUUCGGUCAGGGAUGGGCCCGCGGCCUAUCCGCUUGUUGGUGAGGUAACGGCUCACCAAGGCGACGACGGGUAGCCGGCCUGAGAGGGCGACCGGCCACACUGGGACUGAGACACGGCCCAGACUCCUACGGGAGGCAGCAGUGGGGAAUAUUGCACAAUGGGGGAAACCCUGAUGCAGCAACGCCGCGUGAGUGAUGACGGCCUUCGGGUUGUAAAGCUCUGUCAUUAGGGACGAAAUUGACGGUACCUAAUGAGGAAGCCACGGCUAACUACGUGCCAGCAGCCGCCGUAAAAC